rnacentral:rRNA from 1 species
GAUGAACGCUAGCGGCAGGCCUAAUACAUGCAAGACGAACGGUAAGUUGAGUAGCAAUACUUAGCCAAGAGUGUCGUACGGGUGCGUAACACGUAUACAACCUACCCUAUACAGGAGGAUAGCCUAGGGAAACCUGGAUUAACCCUUCAUAGUAUUAUUGGAUGGCAUCAUUUGAUAAUUAAAACUGAGGUGGUAUAGGAUGGGCAUGCGUCUGAUUAGUUAGUUGGCGGGGUAAUGGCCCACCAAGACGAUGAUCAGUAGGGGUUCUGAGAGGAAGAUCCCCCCACACUGGCACUGAGAUACGGGCCAGACUCCUACGGGAGGCAGCAGUAGGGAAUAUUGGUCAAUGGAUGCAAGUCUGAACCAGCCAUGCCGCGUGCAGGAAGAAGGCCCUUCUGGGGUUGUAAACUGCUUUUUGCCAGGGGAUAAAAUUUCCAUGCGUGGAAAACUGAAGGUACCUGGUGAAUAAGCCACGGCUAACUACGUGCCAGCAGCCGCGGUAAU